rnacentral:rRNA from 1 species
UACGUAGGUGGCAAGCGUUGUCCGGAUUUACUGGGCGUAAAGGGCGUGCAGGCGGUUUGUUAAGUCUAGGGUGAAAGCUCCCGGCUCAACUGGGAGAGGUCCUUGGAUACUGGCAAACUUGAGGGAUGCAGAGGAAAGUGGAAUUCCCGGUGUAGUGGUGAUAUGCGUAGAUAUCGGGAGGAACACCAGUGGCGAAGGCGGCUUUCUGGGCAUUACCUGACGCUGAGGCGCGAAGGCGUGGGGAGCAAACAGG